ensembl:snoRNA
AGUCGGUGAUGAUUCAAUGUAUAAGAGUAGUGGACAGAAGUGAUUUCUGAGCAAUUUUCUACUGAGACU